GAUGAACGCUGGCGGCGUGCCUAAUACAUGCAAGUCGAGCGAACGGACGAGAAGCUUGCUUUUCUGAUGUUAGCGGCGGACGGGUGAGUAACACGUGGAUAACCUACCUAUAAGACUGGGAUAACUUCGGGAAACCGGAGCUAAUACCGGAUAAUAUUUUGAACCGCAUGGUUCAAAAGUGAAAGACGGUCUUGCUGUCACUUAUAGAUGGAUCCGCGCUGCAUUAGCUAGUUGGUAAGGUAACGGCUUACCAAGGCAACGAUGCAUAGCCGACCUGAGAGGGUGAUCGGCCACACUGGAACUGAGACACGGUCCAGACUCCUACGGGAGGCAGCAGUAGGGAAUCUUCCGCAAUGGGCGAAAGCCUGACGGAGCAACGCCGCGUGAGUGAUGAAGGUCUUCGGAUCGUAAAACUCUGUUAUUAGGGAAGAACAUAUGUGUAAGUAACUGUGCACAUCUUGACGGUACCUAAUCGGAAAGCCACGGCUAACUACGUG
rnacentral:rRNA from 1 species